rnacentral:rRNA from 1 species
GACGAACGCUGGCGGCGUGCUUAACACAUGCAAGUCGAACGGAAAGGCCCGGCUUUUGUGGGGUGCUCGAGGGGCGAACGGGUGAGGAACACGUGAGUAACCUGUCCCUGACUGUGGGAUAACUUCAGGAAACUGGGGCUAUUACGGGAAAGGAGCUCUUGCUGCAUGAGGGGGGUGGGAAAGUUUCGGCGGUUGGGGAGGGAACCGCGGCCUAUCAGCUUGUUGGUGGGGUAGUGGAUUAGCACGGCCUGGCCGCGUGGCCGGCCUGAGCGGGUGACCGGCCCCACUGGGACUGGGAUGCGACCCGGACUCCUCCGGGACGGAGGGGAGGAGUAUAGUGUCCUACGCGCUGAGGGAUGGUGCAGCGCCGCCGCGCGGGGUAAAUCGGCCUUCGGUUUGUAAUCCGCUUUUGUCUGUGACGAAGCGUGAGUGACGGUAAUGGGUAAAGAAGCCCCGGCUAACUACGUG